rnacentral:rRNA from 1 species
UACGAGGGGGGCGAGCGUUGUUCGGAAUUAUUGGGCGUAAAGGGUGCGUAGGCGGUUUGAUAAGUCUGAUGUGAAAUCUAUGGGCUCAACCCAUAGUCUGCAUUAGAAACUGUCGGGCUUGAGUAUGGGAGAGGUGAGUGGAAUUCCCGGUGUAGCGGUGAAAUGCGUAGAUAUCAAGUGGAACACCAGUGGCGAAGGCGAGUCUCUGGACAUUUCCUGACGCUGAGGCACGAAAGCCAGGGGAGCAAACGGG